UGGUAUGUCCGUGCCAGCAGGGGCGGUAAUACGGAGGAUCACAGCGUUAUUCGGAAUCAUUGGGUUUAAAGGGUCCGUAGGCGGCCGUAUAAGUCAGCGGUGAAAGUUUUUGGCUUAACGAAAAAAUUGCCAUUGAUACUGUAGGGCUUGAAUAUUUGUGAAGUAACUAGAAUAUGUAGUGUAGCGGUGAAAUGCUUAGAUAUUACAUGGAAUACCAAUUGCGAAGGCAGGUUACUAACAAAUGAUUGACGCUGAUGGACGAAAGCGUGGGUAGCGAACAGGAUUAGAUACCCCGGUAGUC
rnacentral:rRNA from 1 species